UACGAAGGGGGCUAGCGUUGUUCGGAAUACUGGGCGUAAAGCGCACGUAGGCGGAUCGAUCAGUCAGGGGUGAAAUCCCGAGGGCUCAACCCUGGAACUGCCUUUGAUACUGUCGAUCUGGAGUACGGAAGAGGCGAGUGGAAUUCCUGGUGUAGCGGUGAAAUGCGCAGAUAUCAGGAGGAACACCCAUUGCGAAGGCAGCUCGCUGGGACGUUACUGACGCUGAGACGCGAAAGCGUGGGGAGCAAACAGG
rnacentral:rRNA from 1 species